rnacentral:tRNA from 1 species
GGCCAUGGCUUAGUGGUAGAGCACUUGCCUAGCAUGCAUGAUGCCCUGGGUUCAAUCCCCAGGACCA